rnacentral:rRNA from 1 species
GACCUGCGGAGGGAUCAUUACACAAAUAUGAAGGCGGGCUGGAACCUCUCGGGGUUACAGCCUUGCUGAAUUAUUCACCCUUGUCUUUUGCGUACUUCUUGUUUCCUUGGUGGGUUCGCCCACCACUAGGACAAACAUAAACCUUUUGUAAUUGCAAUCAGCGUCAGUAACAAAUUAAUAAUUACAACUUUCAACAACGGAUCUCUUGGUUCUGGCAUCGAUGAAGAACGCAGCGAAAUGCGAUAAGUAGUGUGAAUUGCAGAAUUCAGUGAAUCAUCGAAUCUUUGAACGCACAUUGCGCCCUUUGGUAUUCCAAAGGGCAUGCCUGUUCGAGCGUCAUUUGUACCCUCAAGCUUUGCUUGGUGUUGGGCGUCUUGUCUCUAGCUUUGCUGGAGACUCGCCUUAAAGUAAUUGGCAGCCGGCCUACUGGUUUCGGAGCGCAGCACAAGUCGCACUCUCUAUCAGCAAAGGUCUAGCAUCCAUUAAGCCUUUUUUUCAACUUUUGACCUCGGAUCAGGUAGGGAUACCCGCUGAACUUAAGCAUAUCAAUAAGCGGAGG